UUGUUGCCUCGGCCUUGGUGUACAAGAUUCCCUGGGGGGCCAAUAAGGAACCCCGGUUAAGGCCGGAAAGGUUUAAGGUUGGUUUUUGGUUGGAACCCUUCCGGGCUUAAACGAGGGAAACCUGGCCUUUGACAUACUGGCUUUCUUGAGGCAGGCAGGGGCGAGUGGAACUCUAGGUGGAGCGGUGAAAUGCGUAGAUAUCUAGAGGAACGCCAGUGGUGAAGACGGCUCGCUGGACCUGUCCUGACGCUGAGGUGCGAAAGCGUGGGGAGCAAAAAGGAUUAGAUACCCUUGUAGUCCACGCUGUAAACGAUGUCUACUAGGUUGCGGUAGUUCUGACACUUUCGCAGCCGGAGCAAAAGUGUUAAGUAGACCGCCUGGGGAGUACGGUCGCAAGGCUAAAACUCAAAGGAAUUGACGGGGGCUCACACAAGCGGUGGAGCAUGUGGCUUAAUUCGAAGCAACGCGAAGAACCUUAUCCUGGGUCUGACAUGCUUGAGAUGCCCAUCCUG
rnacentral:rRNA from 1 species